AGGAGAGUUUGAUCCUGGCUCAGGACAAACGCUGGCGGCGUGCCUAACACAUGCAAGUCGAACGAAGCAUCCAGGAAAGAGGCUUCGGCCAAUGGAACGGAUGACUUAGUGGCGGACGGGUGAGUAAUGCAUGAGCAACCUGCCCUGGAGAGGGGGACAACAGCUGGAAACGGCUGCUAAUACCGCAUGAAGUUGCGGGGAGGCAUCUUCCUGCAACCAAAGAUUUAUCGCUCUGGGAUGGGCUCAUGUCUGAUUAGUUAGUUGGCGGGGCAACGGCCCACCAAGACUACGAUCAGUAGCCGGACUGAGAGGUUGAACGGCCACAUUGGGACUGAGAUACGGCCCAGACUCCUACGGGAGGCAGCAGUGGGGAAUAUUGGGCAAUGGGCGCAAGCCUGACCCAGCAACGCCGCGUGAAGGAAGAAGGCUUUCGGGUUGUAAACUUCUUUUAUCAGGGACGAAGGAUGUGACGGUACCUGAUGAAUAAGCCACGGCUAACUACGUGCCAGCAGCCGCGGUAAUACGUAGGUGGCGAGCGUUGUCCGGAUUUACUGGGUGUAAAGGGCGCGUAGGCGGGAUAGCAAGUCAGGUGUGAAAUCUAUGGGCUCAACCCAUAAACUGCACUUGAAACUGUUGUUCUUGAGUGUCGGAGAGGUAGAUGGAAUUCCUAGUGUAGCGGUGAAAUGCGUAGAUAUUAGGAGGAACACCAGUGGCGAAGGCGAUCUACUGGACGAUAACUGACGCUGAGGCGCGAAAGCGUGGGGAGCAAACAGGAUUAGAUACCCUGGUAGUCCCCU
rnacentral:rRNA from 1 species